rnacentral:rRNA from 1 species
GACGAACGCUGGCGGCGUGCCUAAUACAUGCAAGUAGAACGCUGAAGGGGGAGCUUGCUUCUCCGGAUGAGUUGCGAACGGGUGAGUAACGCGUAGGUAACCUGCCUGGUAGCGGGGGAUAACUAUUGGAAACGAUAGCUAAUACCGCAUAAUAGUAGAUGUUGCAUGACAUUUGCUUAAAAGGUGCAAUUGCACCACUACCAGAUGGACCUGCGUUGUAUUAGCUAGUUGGUGGGGUAACGGCUCACCAAGGCGACGAUACAUAGCCGACCUGAGAGGGUGAUCGGCCACACUGGGACUGAGACACGGCCCAGACUCCUACGGGAGGCAGCAGUAGGGAAUCUUCGGCAAUGGACGGAAGUCUGACCGAGCAACGCCGCGUGAGUGAAGAAGGUUUUCGGAUCGUAAAGCUCUGUUGUAAGAGAAGAACGAGUGUGAGAGUGGAAAGUUCACACUGUGACGGUAUCUUACCAGAAAGGGACGGCUAACUACGUGCCAGCAGCCGCGGUAAUACGUAGGUCCCGAGCGUUGUCCGGAUUUAUUGGGCGUAAAGCGAGCGCAGGCGGUUAGAUAAGUCUGAAGUUAAAGGCUGUGGCUUAACCAUAGUACGCUUUGGAAACUGUUUAACUUGAGUGCAAGAGGGGAGAGUGGAAUUCCAUGUGUAGCGGUGAAAUGCGUAGAUAUAUGGAGGAACACCGGUGGCGAAAGCGGCUCUCUGGCUUGUAACUGACGCUGAGGCUCGAAAGCGUGGGGAGCAAACAGG